CAAAACUCAGAAAGGAAAGGAACCUUCUCCCUGUGAGCAGAAGUCUGGGGCACUUUCUGCUCAGUUCGUCACAUGAUUUUGGAUUUUGUGCAUCUCUCCAUAUACCGUCUGUCCCACAGUGAGUGACUUGUGAACCCUAAGUUUGCGCAGCAAUAUGUCAGAAAUGUUGGGCAUCACAUCCAGACCACUCUUGGACUCUUCUUCCUCAGCUGCUGGGGCGAGUUCAGAGUGGCCUGAAGAGCUGCUUCUUAACCAUCCCUUAAACAGCCUGUGCUGCCUCCCCAAAUGAUGCAGGGCUGUAACCGGGAAACGGAGAGAGCAGGCUGUAAAUCUCUCUUCUGCUUGUGGAUAGUAUAAGGCUCAAUAAAGUUGGUAGCUUGAAAAAAAAAAAAAAAAAAA
rnacentral:lncRNA from 1 species